rnacentral:rRNA from 1 species
CCUACGGGAGGCAGCAGUCGAGAAUCAUUCACAAUGGGGGAAACCCUGAUGGUGCGACGCCGCGUGGGGGAAUGAAGGUCUUCGGAUUGUAAACCCCUGUCAUGUGGGAGCAAAUUAAAAAGAUAGUACCACAAGAGGAAGAGACGGCUAACUCUGUGCCAGCAGCCGCGGUAAUACAGAGGUCUCAAGCGUUGUUCGGAACCACUGGGCGUAAAGCGUGCGUAGGCUGUUUCGUAAGUCGUGUGUGAAAGGCGCGGGCUCAACCCGCGGACGGCACAUGAUACUGCGAGACUAGAGUAAGGGAGGGGGAACCGGAAGUCUCGGUGUAGCAGUGAAAUGCGUAGAUAUCGAGAGGAACACUCGUGGCGAAGGCGGGUUCCUGGACAUUAACUGACGCUGAGGCACGAAGGCCAGGGGAGCGAAAGGGAUUAGAUACCCUUGUAGUC